rnacentral:lncRNA from 1 species
AUUUUGUUAACUUAUUUAAUUCAGUUGCUCAGCAUCGACAGCACCCAGAAUUUGUUAGAUAUGCAAAUUCUUACACCCUACUUGGAACCUUCUCAAUCAGAAAUUCUAGGGAUGGGGCCCAGAAAUGUGGUUUGACAAGACUCCCUGGUGAUUCUGCUGCAUACUAGUUUGAGAACCACUGCCUUAAUAAGGCACAAUGAUCACAUUUUAAAUCCAUCACUAAUGGCACUGAAAUAGGAGGUGACUUGGCAACUUAAUUAGUACCUAUCUGACUACCUGACAUAAAAUGUCCUCCCUACAACAAGGAAAACCAAGGAUAUAAUUUGUGGUCAAAAGUACCUUGGGACUUAAUCUUCAUUCACGUAUAAGCCUAAGGCUUGUUUUUAAACUAAAGAACACCAAAAGCUGGUCAGAUUUACCCACAAGGUGAAUAAUAAAUAGGUAACAGUUUGCUUUAGUACUAGUUUACACCUGCUGUCUUGAUAUUAUUCUUGGCACCCUCCUCUCAAAAUAUUCCCAGUUUAGACAGUAAAUUAUGGUCUAAAUAGCAUCCAUUCAAAAUAAAACAUAAAAUGCAGUAUAAAAUGUAUUAAUAACGAUACCUGAAAAAUUCUCAUUCGAUUAAGCUUCAUUAAACAGAAACAAUUUGUAAAGAGUCUUUGAUCACAGAUCGAACCGGCAACCUCAUGGUUCCUAGUCAGAUUAGUUUCUGCUGCACCACGAUGAGAACUCCAGUAAAUUACUACUGAUGACAAAAGUACUUAGGUUUUCACUUUGCUGAAACAUAAAGAUGAGCCCUGGUUUUAGCUCCUCUUAGCUCUGCCACUAUGAUUAUGUAAUUCUUUGGAACACAAGUUUUUUCAAAUUGUUAACAUAAAUUGAGUCAAUUUUACAAAAAUAUUUUAUAACCUAUGAAAUUUGGUGUUACCCAAAAUCAUGUUAUCAGAUCAAUACCAAAAUAACCUCUGAGAUUUUGUCGAUUGAGUUAUUUGAAUGUAAGUGGUUAAUUAUGACUCUUGUUGAGAUUUUUGCCCCAUGAUCAUUUCUACACAUCCUUGCCAUAAAAUGUAUUUCAAAUGUUCUGAAACAUCCUAUAACAUUAAUUCUUUGAACUGUAUUAAAAAUUUUUGUUUAAUGGUUUUGCCUUACUAUUUCCAGAAGGCUUAAUCUUUGCUUUUCCAAAAUACAGAUUUAUACAUUCUGUACUAGAUUCAGAAAUUAUAUAUUAUCAAUAAAGACACUGGGGUUAUUUGUACCAAGUCGUCCACUGUCACUUUUGAUGGUUAUCAACUUCACAGACAGAAACAGAGGCAAGAAGCUACUAAGGCAGCUAAUACCAAAGAACCCAGCAUUCUUCUGACAUUUCAGGGGGUAAAUCUUGCACUUACAAGAGGAUUAAGAUUCUUCAUCUUGCUUAACAAUAAAACUAUCAAUUCAUUCAAGCCAUAAGACUUUGAUAAAGGUUCUAAGAUUAUUACGGUAAAAAGCAAAAGCACUUCAAACCUUAAAAGGGGCACAUAAACUUGACUUUUAAUAAAGUUUGAGGAACUUCCCUUAGUGGUCUAGUGAUUAGGACUUUGUGCUUUCACCCGUACAGCCCAGAUCUGAUCUCUGGUCUGGGAACUGAGAUCCCACAUCAAGCCACCAAAAGUUGAUAAACUUUUGGAGUUCCUUGGUGGCUGAGUGUGUUCAAGAUCCAGUGCUGGAGUUCCCAUCAUGGCGCAGCAGAAAUGAAUCCGACUAGGAACCAUGAGGUUGUGGGUUUGAUCCCUGGCCUCGCUCAGUGGAUUAAGGAUCCGGUAUUGCCCUGAGUUCCCGUGUAGGUUGCAGACGUGGCUUGGAUUCUGCAAUGCAGAGGCUGUGGUAUAGGCCGGUAGCUGUAGCUCUGAUUUGACCCCUAGCCUGGGAGUGAACCUCCAUAUGCCACAGAUGUGGCCCUAAAAAGCUAAAAAAAGAAAAAAGGAUUUUUUAUGUUGCUAUAUUUUGAGGAGUUAUCUUCUAGGUCUCAUAUGAAAUUCAGAAAAAAAUACAGAAUUCUUAAAACUUCACUGUCUUAAAAUGACUAAACCAAGAAUUAGAAAAACAAGCACCCAGAUUAAUUUUUUUAAAAUGGAAAAAUAAAAAUAAAUGUUAUUAGAGUUACCUCAUGGCUUAGCAGGUUAAGGAUCUGGCCUUAUCAACUGCUGUGGCAUGGGUUCAAUCCUUAGCCUAGGAACUUCCAGAUGGCAUGGGUGUGGCCAAAACAUAAAUAAAUAAAAUGUUAUCAUAAACUUUCUUGUUAUCUGAUUUUUUGGCUUGGCCAACAACAGGUAAUAGAAUAUAAGAACAGACUACAUGUUUACCUCUGAAUAAACAAAGACAAAACAAUGUAGAAAGACAAAAAUAGGUUCUCUUUCCUCACUUCCACAAAAACCAUUUGUUCUAUAUAGCCUAUCAUUUUUUUCCAGCUUUAGCCAUUUCACUCUCCACUUUCAAUGUACCUCUAAGUAACAAUACGGUGGGGAAAAAAUUUUUUUUCCUCCCUUCUCCCAAUAUUCUCAUGUAACUAUCUCUGAGAAAAAAAAUAAGUUUGACAAGCAGACUUUACCUUUUUUUUUUAAAAGUUCCCAGACUGCUACCUACACCACAACUGCAGCAAUUGCCAGAUCCUUUAUUUAUUUAUUUAUUUUUUGGUCUUUUUGCUAUUUCUUUGGGCCGCUCCCGCGGCAUGUGGAGGUACGGCCCUAAAAAGUAAAAUAAAAAUAAAAUAAAAACAUCAGUCUAGUCUCUUUGUGCGGAUUGAACCACUGUAGUUGUGGCGUGUGCCACAGCUGCAGCAAUGUGAAAUCCUUAACCCGCCACACCACAUAGGAAUUUCCUAUCUUCAUAUUU